GCAUCAAAGGUAGUAAUUUGUUUACAUAACAGAGCAGCUCUAGGUUUGCACAACCAUGUCAAUGGACAGCUCAGUGGUUUUUUUCAGUUCUUGGAUGAUUCUAGCUCUAUUGCUUGCAUUAGGAACAACUGCUCCUCAAGCCCAUGCUCGAGCUUUCUUUGUGUUUGGAGAUUCGCUUGUUGACAGUGGCAACAAUGACUACUUGGUGACGACUGCCCGUGCUGAUUCUCCUCCUUAUGGUAUUGAUUAUCCAACUCACCGACCCACUGGCCGCUU
rnacentral:lncRNA from 1 species